AAAUUGAAGAGUUUGAUCAUGGCUCAGAUUGAACGCUGGCGGCAGGCCUAACACAUGCAAGUCGAGCGGUAACACAGGGAGCUUGCUCYUGGGUGACGAGCGGCGGACGGGUGAGUAAUGUCUGGGAAACUGCCUGAUGGAGGGGGAUAACUACUGGAAACGGUAGCUAAUACCGCAUAAYGUCGCAAGACCAAAGAGGGGGACCUUCGGGCCUCUUGCCAUCAGAUGUGCCCAGAU
rnacentral:rRNA from 1 species